UCCAGCCGACCAAACGGUCGAGGCCUUUAGCUCGGAAUUCGACCAAUUCUCAUCACUAAAUGGCACCUCAAAAACUCUACACCAACUAGUUGUUGCGCCAAAAAAAUCAUUUACGUUGCUAAUAUUGCAGAACCACCAAUAAGGCCCCUGCUGAUUCCACUAGAUAAAAGCACGUAAAUAUAGUGUGAUCGUCGACAACUUGUGCGUAAUUUGUCUGGCAUCUUUGGAUCCAAAACAAGAAGGGCUUCCAAAACCACAAGAUACAACGACUGCGUAAUUCGGUGUUCAAGAAGGGCUUGAUGGCGGUAAAAAUCCUAUCAGUAAGUCACAGUUGAACAUCAUGGAGCUUAUCAAGUAUUUUCGCAAUAUUGGGCAACUCAACUAGUGUCUUCUUAAACGGAUGCAACAUCCACAAGAAGAAUGACAAGACUUCCAUUGCUCUUCUAGCAGAUUAAUCUUGUACAUCUUAUCAUUUCCGAUUGAAGGCGUAAAACCUUCUACUUGAACUAUCACUUUUCUUCUAGUAAUAAAUUCUUUCAUCGUGGUCAACUCCACGACUUACCACACCAAAACCAAUAACACCUUCCGUGGAAACUAUCCGUCGGUGAUCGACCCUAUGAGAUCUUGGGGAAGAUUCGAUCAGUUAUGCAUGAUGCAUCAGAGAUCUGCGUAAAGGUGUCGAAAACUUAACUAAAGGUACAAGGAACGGUGCAGCAGCAGCAGAGAGUGCAGAUAGCAACACUACCAGUAGUCUAGUAGUAGCCAUGUGACCCAGCAGCUUUGUAUCUCUGUUGAUAUCCAUGAUUCACAAAACAGCACCAAAAGUGAAGAAUUUAUUCUCCCAAGUUUUGAAAAUAACACAACGAAAUUCUCUU